UUAUGACUGGGCUACNCACGUGCUACAAUGGACAGAACAAAGGGCAGCGAAACCGCGAGGUUAAGCCAAUCCCACAAAUCUGUUCUCAGUUCGGAUCGCAGUCUGCAACUCGACUGCGUGAAGCUGGAAUCGCUAGUAAUCGCGGAUCAGCAUGCCGCGGUGAAUACGUUCCCGGGCCUUGUACACACCGCCCGUCACACCACGAGAGUUUGUAACACCCGAAGUCGGUGAGGUAACCUUUUAGGAGCCAGCCGCCGAAGGUGGGACAGAUGAUUGGGGUGAAGUCGUAACAAGGUAGCCGUAUCGGAAGGUGCGGUUGGAUCACCUC
rnacentral:rRNA from 1 species